rnacentral:rRNA from 1 species
UACGAAGGUCCCAAGCGUUAUCCGGAUUUAUUGGGUUUAAAGGGUGCGUAGGCGGACUGUUAAGUCAGUGGUGAAAGCUCCAUGCCUAACAUGGAAAUGGCCAUUGAUACUGACGGUCUUGAGUACAUUUGAAGUGGGCGGAAUGUGUCAUGUAGCGGUGAAAUGCUUAGAUAUGACACAGAACACCGAUUGCGAAGGCAGCUCACUAAACUGUAACUGACGCUGAGGCACGAAAGCGUGGGGAGCGAACAGG